GAAAGCUUGCAAGGUUAGCUGCCUAUGGAGCUGCAGCAAGCCAUACCAUUAACUCUUUGAGGCAAAUCUACUCAUGCUUUUUGGGAACACUGGCUACCACUGGGAAGAAAUAGUGUGCUGCCUUUGCAGUUUUAAUGUCUUAUCAAUCAAAUAGUCUGGCAUACGGUUGUGAAGGAAUUAUAAGAAAGUGUGUUUUCAAAUAGGGAUUUCACGGGUAUGGUGUGCACUAAUGGAAUAGUGGUUCUAAUACAAAAAUCAAGACUUGACUUUCGGGAAUUGCUGAGGUUGCCUGGAGCUCUGGAUCCAUCUGGCUCAAUGCGCGCCCCAACAAGGACACCCAGAGAAAGGUACACAGCACCACAUCCAGGUGCCUUUUGGAGAUCUCCAAGGAAGGAACACAGCCUCUCUGGGUUCCUGUGCCAGUGCUUCAUUGCCUACACAAUGAGGAAGUGUUUCCUGGGAUGAUUAUUGUCUUGGCAACAUUGAUAUAAGUUCAACGCUUUUCACUGUGUUUUUUGAGUAUAUAUCCCAAACUGUGCUGUGACAAAAGUAAUCCAAGGUUUUGCUCCUGAAAGUCUGUAAGCAACCAAACAAACAUCCACAGAGAAGUCACAAUCCAGGACUGAGCAAUAGGGAUGCUACUCUGGGGAUCCAUGCUCCCUUCUGCUCUGACUCUGGCUUUCUUUGUGGUCUAAGGUAAAGGAUUUUUACAAAGCCUUUUCUAGUUAUGCAUUCACACAGUAUCUUGGAAAGGCCAUGCUCUGAUCUUGGACUCCGAAGCAACACUGUGUGUGCAAGUUAUGCUAUAAAUAAUUCGGGAUAAAUCAUGCAAACUGAAUUGAAAUUGCACGCUGAGUCUCAGUCAGACACUACACAAGUGCACAGAGAAGCAAAAAGGUGUAAGCAGAGGACGGUCCUCCGUGAACAAAAGGAAAACAGGAAGUCAGUGGAUCCCUAGGAACUGGUGCUUCUAACCACUGUCCACUCAUCUCCUUCCUACCCCUCGCCUCUCCCACAAAGGCUGUGGCAGGAAACACUCUCGCCAUUUGCUAAAGAUGACAGUUAUUCCUACCAGAGAACUGCAGUGUAGACAAGCUCAGAAGAUGAGGUCAGCAUCUCGGCCACCAUGUUGUCACAAAGGGCACAAUGAAUUGGCAGAGCUGCUAAUAUGGAGUCUACAGCUGCUUGCUUCUCCCACGCAGAGCGGGUCCUUUGUCAUCCUCAUGUUGUAUAGCACACUCCCUACAAGUAGUCAGUCUGGUUCCAGUGAAACUCUGCAUAAGUAAAGAAGUAAUAAUCUUGAUCAUAAUUAGCAGAAGAGUACUACCAUGGAAGAUGUGGCUUCUAUGAUCAGGAUGCCAGUUCUGAUGUAUGUCCUAUGACAGACUACUGCAAAGAAAGAAACCAAUUCAUUUUUUGUACAGAUGUGAUAUUAUGACUGUGCUAAGUGUCCCAAGAACUUGGCUUCUUCUUCCCAGCAUCCCCAAUGAGACACGGAAGGAAAGAAGAAUAACAUCGAAGUCCUCCUUUCUUUCUUUCUGUCCCACUGGACAAUAGAGUGAAUGGGAAGCACCAUGACCUCCCAGUGACUCACUCAGAGUGCAUGCCCUGUGACAUUGUCUUACGUCUUCUGUAGGAUGAAUUUUGUCCCAGUUCAUGAAGGGCCACAGCAACCGCCUUUUCCAGGACUCCUGGUCAUCUUGGUCAAACUGAGGUGAAGGAAAAUACGAACGACUUAUCAGAAAGGAUAUAGAACCAUUAUCUUACAUUUAACAAAUGGCUAAGAGAACCUUACUUACCAAAUCUCAGUCAUGGCACCUUUCAGAAAGUACACGCAUUUGCCCCCAAGGAAAUACAAGCACAUAAACAUUUCACAUCUGUAAAUAUUUGAAAAGAACUAGGAUAUUCCACAGUAGUGAUGAAAACAUACCUGAAAGCUCCUGAGAGCUGUAAGCACCUAAUGAAUUUAGCCAGUGAUUCUGACAUUCUGCUGUAAAGUCAUCCCAUUGUGAGCUAGAGAUUAGAUAGCCCAGUCUGGGUUGUGUUUAUUUUAUUAUGUUGAAAAAGAUAUCUCAGUUGAUUAAAAUAUUUUUUAU
rnacentral:lncRNA from 7 species